rnacentral:rRNA from 1 species
AUGAAACGGAACGCGAUGGACGUGGUACUUGACGAAUCCCAGAGAUGGCGGAAUACGAACUUGGCACCCACGGUCUUGACGUCAACAGUGCCAGGCAGCAGAGAGAACGCACAACAGGGCACGAUAGCCACAGGUCAUCCAAAGGAGACAGAGACCAUGGCGCCAAGGAUGAGCGACGCGAAGCAGAGGCAGAUGCGGGCGAGCGGGAUGCUUGCAUGCAGGGAAGCCGCGACGCGGGAAGAUUGCCAAGAGGAUGACGUGGUGAGGCACUCCGGCGACGAGGCUCGCGGCAAGGAAGAAGGGGCCAGCUCCCGGUGGUGGUCAGAUGGGUUCCUGCCGGCAGAGGACCGGGAACCAGCAAGCAGGGGAGGCAGGGUUGGCACCUGA